UGUGGGAAAUCUCUUUGUGUAUUCAGAAGUGGUACUAACAUAGUUUUUCAUAGUUUGCCCUACUCUGUGUUUCAGCUAAACAUUCCAACCAUCAUUCCUCUACAGCGGACUUUUGAGAAACAUCAAUUAAUACAAAAGAAGGCAGAAAAAAAAAAAAAGGAAUGAUGAAUAGGAAAAGACACCACAGUGGAAAGUAAAAUAUGUGAAUUGUGGAAUGAAAGGUGGUACAGAAUGCUUUGGAAUAGAGCAGGCUACUUCAGAAUAAUUUAAAGUUGAUUCCAACAGAUUCUCGCCAUUUUGCCAUGGGUUGGUCUAGUGUCCAGUCCCACCAAAACUGGCCAAAUGAGAGACUGAUUGAUGAAGGCUAAGAUGAAACACGUCAAAGAUCCCAGAGUCCCAGGCUGUAUUUGAGCCAAAGGAAGAAGCUGAAUUUUGCCAAGAAGAUCCUAUUUCCACAUAAGGUCAUAUUCUGAUGUAUUGGGAGGUAGGACUUCAACCUAUGUUUUUGAAGGACACAAUUCAACCAAUAGCAUACUCUAAGAAAGAAGCCGGGUUUGGAGAUUAGGGAAAGCUCUUUGGAACUAGGCUGAGGACUAAAGGAUAUAUCUGCAUGAAGUCUCCUAGAAGAGCAUUACUGGCUGGGAGAAUGGUGAGUAAAAAGUCACGGGUCAGAAGAAGACCUUGGCUGUUGCUUCAGUGAAUAGAAAUAUGGCCUCUGUGGCUGGGCCACAGACCGCCAAAGAAGCAAAAAGGGGAGAUGAUACUGGGGAGCUGAGGGGUUGGAGAUAGGCCAGUACCUAAAGAAAAGGAGUUUGGAAUUUACUUCCACUGAUGGUAAGCUGUUGAAAAACACAA